CGGACUUAGCGGCGGACGGGUGAGUAACGCGUGGGAACAUACCCUUUGGUACGGAAUAGCUCUUGGAAACGAGUGGUAAUACCGUAUACGCCCUCCGGGGGAAAGAUUUAUCGGUGAAAGAUCGGCCCGCGUUAGAUUAGCUAGUUGGUGAGGUAAUGGCUUACCAAGGCAACGAUCAAUAGCUGUUCUUAGAGGAAGACCAGCCACAUUGGGACUGAGACACGGCCCAAACUCC
rnacentral:rRNA from 1 species